GCGUCCCGGUCGGCGCUUUCCUUUCAUAAAUUCCCCAAUCUGCGCUCGAACCCAAAAUUCCCCAUUGAUGCUCGCUCGCUCGAUCCAGACCUCACGCUCGAAUUCAGACCUCAUUCUCGAAUUGGCUGCAGUCCAUGGCGUCGUUCGCGAGCUUCUCGGCAAGCUCCUCCUAUUCCAGUGGUACGGCGGCGACGUCGCAGUCGCCGGUGGCAUAUCAGGAGGGUCCGUUGCAGUACGAGCUAGAGAGGCUGUGUGGAUGCGCAGUGAGAAGCAAUACGAGCUUCAGCCUCGACGCAUUUCUUGAAGCGUGCUGAAUCCAGGACGCAGGGUGUGGUCUGUAGGUGAAUCGUGACAUGAUAUUGGCGAAUGGUCUGAAAAAAGAGAAGAUGCAAUUGAAGAAUCUCGCAUCGAGACAUGAUGUUGGGUACGUAGUUGAGUGGAGACGGGCAUGAGGUUGCUUGUGAAUGAGAUGCAACAGGCAUCAGUAGUACUCUGAAUUCAGUCCAAGUUCAGACUAGUUAUACUGUAAUACUAAAACUAUAGUAAAAGUUCUGUACAAAUGCAGUCAAAACUCAGAGUACUUAUACUA